rnacentral:rRNA from 1 species
UACAGAGGUCUCAAGCGUUGUUCGGAUUCAUUGGGCGUAAAGGGUGCGUAGGCGGGUCUUUAAGUCAGGGGUGAAAUCCUGGAGCUCAACUCCAGAACUGCCUUUGAUACUGAAGAUCUUGAGUUCGGGAGAGGUGAGUGGAACUGCGAGUGUAGAGGUGAAAUUCGUAGAUAUUCGCAAGAACACCAGUGGCGAAUGCGGCUCACUGGCCCGAUACUGACGCUGAGGCACGAAAGCGUGGGGAGCAAACAGG